rnacentral:tRNA from 1 species
CAGGGAAUAGUUUAAUAAGAAUUUCAGUUUUGGGUACUGAUGGUGGGAUUUUUUUAUCUCUUCCUUGA